CGCGUAAUACGUAGGGGGCAAGCGUUGUCCGGAAUGACUGGCGUAAAGCGCGCGCAGGCGUUUUUCACGUCUGGGGGUGAAAGCCCCGGGGCUCAACCCUGGGAUGGCCUUGGAAACGGGAAGACUUGAGGGUCGGAGAGGUCAGGGGAAUUUCCACGUGUAGCGGUGAAAUGCGUAGAGAUGUGGAGGAAUACCAGUGGCGAAGGCGCCUGACUGGACGAAACCUGACGCUGAGGCGCGAAGGCGUGGGGAGCAAACAGGAUUAGAUACCCUGGUAGUCCACGCGGUAAACGAUGAGUGCUAGGUGUCGGAGGGUACCACCUCCGGUGCCGAAGGAAACCCAAUAAGCACUCCGCCUGGGGAGUACGGUCGCAAGACUGAAACUCAAAGGAAUUGACGGGGGCCCGCACAAGCAGUGGAGCAUGUGGUUUAAUUCGAAGCAACGCGAAGAACCUUACCAGGGCUUGACAUCGGUCUGAACGGAGUAGAGAUAUUCCUUCCCUUCGGGGCAGACUAGACAGGUGGUGCAUGGUUGUCGUCAGCUCGUGUCGUGAGAUGUUGGGUUAAGUCCCGCAACGAGCGCAACCCUUGCUCUGUGUUACCAGCGCGUGAUGGCGGGGACUCACAGAGGACUGCCGGUGACAAACCGGAGGAAGGCGGGGAUGACGUCAAAUCAUCAUGCCCCUUAUGUCCUGGGCGACACACGUGCUACAAUGGGCGGUACAACGGGACGCAAGACCGCGAGGUGGAGCCAAACCCAAGAAAGCCGUUCGUAGUUCGGAUUGCAGGCUGCAACUCGCCUGCAUGAAGCCGGAAUUGCUAGUAAUCGCGGAUCAGCAUGCCGCGGUGAAUACGUUCCCGGGCCUUGUACACACCGCCCGUCACACCACGAGAGUGGGUAACACCCGAAGU
rnacentral:rRNA from 1 species